rnacentral:rRNA from 1 species
UACGAAGGGGGCUAGCGUUGUUCGGAUUUACUGGGCGUAAAGCGCACGUAGGCGGACUAUUAAGUCAGGGGUGAAAUCCCGGGGCUCAACCCCGGAACUGCCUUUGAUACUGGUAGUCUUGAGUUCGAGAGAGGUGAGUGGAAUUCCGAGUGUAGAGGUGAAAUUCGUAGAUAUUCGGAGGAACACCAGUGGCGAAGGCGGCGCACUGGCGCGAUACUGACGCUGAGGUGCGAAAGCGUGGGGAGCAAACAGG